UCCGCGGUAGCUCAGAGGUAGAGCAAGCGACUGUUAAUCGCUUGGUCGCAGGUUCGAUCCCUGCCCGCGGAG
rnacentral:tRNA from 1 species